rnacentral:lncRNA from 1 species
GUUGAUGAAUAAAACACUGUUUGGCCAAUAGCCAGUAAAGGCAGGAAGACAGGCGGGACUAGAAGACAAGGAGAAGUCUAGGAGACAGGCUCCACAAGAGGAUACCAGGGAACCGACAAAGGAGUAGCAGGUCCAGGUAUUCUCCGAUAGGAAAGUCUAGUCCUCAGAUAGAUAAGACUUCUCCUAAGUCUGGCUACUUUGAAGACAUUGUUUCUGCAUUUACACAAUGGAAUACUACUCAGCAGAAAAAAAACAAUGAAAUCUUGAAAAUUGCAAGAAAAUGGAUGGAACUAGAAGAAACUGAGUGAGGUAACCCAAUCACAGAAAGACAAACAUGGUAUGUAUUCACUCAUAUGUGGAUUUUAGACAUAGAGUAAGGAUUACCAGCCUAAAAUCCACACUGCCAAAGAAGCUAAUAAACAAGGAGGACACUAAGAGAGACAUACAUGGUCUCCUGGAGAAGGGGAAAGGGUCAAGAUCCCCUGAGCAAAUUGGGAGCACGGAAAGACAGGAGGGAGCUAGAAGAAUGAGAAGGGGAAAAGAGGAGGGUGCAGAGGACAUGAGGGAGCAGAAAGGUUGAGUCAGGGGAAGAAUAGAUGACAACAAGAAUGGAGAUACCAUAAUAGAGGAAGACAUUUUAGGUUUACAGAGAAAUCAGGCACUAGGGAAAGGUCUGGAGAUCUACAAAGAUGACACCAACUAACAAUCUAAGCAACAGAGGAGAGGCUACCUUAAAUGCCCUCUCCUGAUAAUGAGACUGAUGACUGUCUUAUAUACCAUCCUAUAGCCUUCAACCAACAACUGGUGGAAGUAGAAGCAGACACCCACAACUAAUCACUGAACUGAAUUGGAAUUCAGUUGCAGAGAAGGACAGGUGAAAAGCAAAGGGGCCCAGACCAGGCUAGUGAAACCCACAGAAACAGCUGACCUGGACAUCGGGGAACUCUUGCUCCUCAGACUGAUAGAUGGAAUACCAGCAUGGGACUGAUCCAGACCCCAGGAACAUGGGUUUCUGUAAGGAAACCUCGGAAUUCUACUGGACUUCCUGUAGUAGUUCAAUACUUGUCCCUAGCAUAGGUGUGGACUUUGGGAGCCCAUUCCACAUAGAGGAAUACUCCCUGAGCCAAAACACAUAGGGCUGGGCCUAGACCCUAUCCCAAAGGAUAUGAUAGACUCUGAUGACACCCUAUGGAAGACCUCACCAUCCAGGGCGAGUAAAAAGGAUAUGUGAUAGGUAGGGUUUUAGUUGGGGGGAGG